ACCAGGAUUAGUGUUUGAUUGAAUAACCAGGGGCCAAGGACCUUUGGGAGCCAUCAUGGAGUCCUGCCUACAACCAGAUCCAACAGCACUUAGCUCUUCUCUGACGGGCCCAGUUUAAUGGAGCAAUGCCCUUUUCAUGAAUACUACAGUGGCACACAUUUAUUGUCACCAUGACAGAUGAGGAAACUGAGGCACAAAGAACUUCGGAAACUUUCCCAGGCGGAACCAGCUCAGAUUGGCGACACUGUCUUAGCAGCCGCCUCCUGUGACCUCCCUUGCGCCUUUGCAUCCAUUUUUGUGAGCUGCCGAUCUCCCAAGGCUUUACCCUUGAAAAUCACACUAAGGGCAGGAUCCCGGCAUAAACCUAGCAAAUUCCCAGAAGAGGCAGAAAACACAGCAACCCAGGAAGCAGGAGCCCGAAGUUCUAGUUCUGGCUAUUGCUAACUCUCUGUAUAACCUCGGACGAAUCCUUGAACCUCUCUGGGCCUCAGUUUCCUCUUCUGGGAAAGAAGUGGGGAUUGGAUCCUUUGAUGGACCAGGAACCUCUGAACUCCUGCUUCUCAUUCCCAGUAGAGGCAAGAAAGAGACCCACAGUCGAAACGGAAAUGGUGGAGCAUCGCUCAGCCCAAGUUUCAAAGCCCGACAGGCCUGUAGAACUUUUUUUUUUCCUUUAAAGGCAACUGGUUUUCUGCUGCACAUUUGCUCACGUUGGAGCACGAGCACACAGGUGUAAGCCAUUCGGAAAGGUGGGAAACCCACACUCUGGCCCAUUUGGCUCCUUGCUACCUAAGAAAUAUUACAGAAUCAGUUAAUUUUGACUCACUGACCCCUCGGAUCAGCUAAUAGGCAUGAAGCACUUAGACCACAACUUGCUCAAGGGGCAGUGUAAUUAUUUUACUUAAAAAUGAUGUCAGGUGGCAAUUUAGCAACAAACUGGCUUCCAGGCUAUUUAAUUCAGUUUAACAAGGAGGAAGAACAUUAUAAUUAGUUAAGAGCUGGUACUGUAGCACUUUAGCAGAGUCGCUCCCAAUUUUUAGAGUGCAUGAGUGGGGGAAGAAGAGCAAGCUUGUCAAAAAUUCAAAUUCCCAGGCUCCACUUCUGGUGCAUCUGGUCUAACAGGGUCAUGGACCGGGCCUGGGAAUCUGCAUCUUAAAAUUGUAAACCCUCUCGCAAAUCAUCACUCUCAUUUGGCUUUUAGUCAAUUAAGAUGUAUCCUCCCCCUCCACUUUCUAUUGAAAUUCUGUAUCAUGUAAGUAUAGAAUCUCAGGACAGAGCUUCCCAUCCUAAACACACCAGCUUUAAGUGUUCUUUCCUAGAGUUUCGUGGGAUAUUCUAAUGCAAGAGUUCUAGUUAGCCAAGUUUCUGGACUGAAAAUUUCAGGGGCCUUCCAGAGCCCCUUUAAAGAGGGCCCAGAGUGUUCCUGGGGAAUGAAUGGUAAAGGCGCUGAGUCCCUUCCUCUCUACUUCCCUAACCCCCAAGGAUAACCAGAGCACCAUUGCCUGCUUCCUUGUUCCUGAAGGGGAAAAUUCACCCUUCACAAUUAAAGUCCUGGCACUGAGGCAUGUCUAGAGGAGCCUGAUCUGUGCCCUCCCAAUACCACGGGUGUCCCUGACAGAAGCAUCUGGCAGCUACCCAAGGAAUUCUGGGGUCCUGCAGAAUCCAAGUUUACAAACCAUCAGAACAAGGUUUUGCUUCAGGAUAGUGUUUGACUCCACUGCUGCGAAAUGACUGUCCCCUGUCCAGUAGAAUCUACACUUCUCCCUCCCUUUGACCCCACCUUACAGAAACCCAGCUGUCUACUGGCAGACAUUAGCGACAAAGCAGAGCUACGCUAGGGUAGAGGGAGCUGUCAUGGAAACCUCAGCUCUUCACUGUCCGAGUCCUUCAGGCUACCUCCCCAAUAUAAGCCAAAACGGUGUUGGCCACUCUUUGGGUUGUCACAACCCCGAAUCCCUUGAUGGUCUCUGCUCAUGCACAGGGAGCCCAGAACACUUAAAGCCCAUCUUUCAUUCUUAAUCAAGAUGUUCCUUAGCACAACUCCAAGCCUAGAAGAAAAAACAAAAGCUUUCCCAAGAACAAAGAAAAAUAUUCCCAUCAGCUUUUCCUCCAAAGUUUGCUGUGCCAGUUAUAUGAAAACCGGACGUGUGUGGACAGGCCUGAAUGUUGAAGCGCUGGGGGAUGGCUCUGAGAAGGGUGAGCUUUGGCUUUCCUAACCAGAAGCAGGGAACUCCUGGUGAACUCUGCACGGCUGCUGGAAGCUGUCCAUGUGCUUGUUACCACAGCUCUUUCCUUCCGCAGGGGUACCAGAGGCAAAGCUUCUCCCACACCCCACCACGCGAUGCGGGGGCAGGGCCUCCACCAGCCACAAGUGAGAGAACCAGAGCUCUCCUGCCCGUGACAGGUGGGGACAGCCCCAACUCUGGAACCUCACAGAAGACCAGAACACCAGCACUCCAAGGCUGCAUGGUGAGGCCAGAACACUCAUUCCCUGGGAACAAGGUGAUGAGUGAUGAGCCCGAACGCCAGAAGCUUGCAACUACCACCUCCUGUGCCGUGAGGAAACCACCCCAUGGGUAAAUGUGCACAAGAGUCAUUUCAGACCACACCCUUACAACAGGACAUUAAUAUGAAUCUAAGUAGCCAGGGAAAAAAAAGGCAGACAUUAAAUCUCCCUGCUCAUUUCCCAACACCAAUUCCAAACCCUUUAAAACCCUUUCAGUCCGGUGGCCAGUUCCCCUGAUUGCUCACAAACAAUUCACCUCCACACUACAGGCCAUUAAUCCAGUGGUGUUUAUUCAAGCAGUAUUCACACUUGCUGUUGAAUAACAAGGGAAUCAAGGCUCCCCUAGAUGGGGCUCCCGCAGCUCCAGCUUCACAGCAGCCCCAGGUCUUUGAGAACUUCAGAUGAGCUUUGUGGUUGAAAAGCCUUUCAGUUCUUCCUCUAUGCCUGUUAGGCAGAGCCUAUUAUACCCUCGAUUACCAGAACAGACUCAGCGGGGUGGCAGAUGCACACGGCAAAGCCGGGUAGAACUACGUAAGCUCAGAAGAGGCCACACUGUUCCAUGUUUUCAUACAAAAAAAUUUAAUAAAUAUUACUUUUCAAAAUUUAUUGCCAAGAACAACACAUCAAAGAUGCAUUUUUAUGUUCAUAUAACACUAAUAGGACAACACAAAGUAUCUUCACGGUCUCAACGGUGAACCAACAAGAUUACUCUGUUUUAUAAGCCUUUUUGAUCUUGAACUUCGUAAUAGCACUUUGAUUUCCUCACUUAAGGCAGGCAGUGUACUCUAUGGCAAAUCUAAACAGUGAUCUUACUGGACAUUUUAUGGUUCAAGUAUUCAACUAGCUUAUUAGAAUACUCCCUAAAUGCAGAAGAUUUAAAAAAAAAAAAUCAAAUCUACAAGUGGUUCCGUAUUACGUACGAAUGGUGAAAAGAAAUCAGAAUUUACAAAGUAAGAUUGGUGUGCUUCCAACUUCACACAAUUAAUUUGAUGUUUUUAAUCAUAUUCAACCACUCACAUUUUGGCUACGUUAAGUCAUAGCUCAACUUGUUCCCUUACUGCUCUGCAGCAGAUCACCUGCCUGUCUCUUUUCAAGUCUAAAGCAGAAAAACAAAAAAACGAAAAACCUGUUCUAGACUAAUCCUCAAACUGCCUCAGUCAGUCCUUAAAACGUGUUUUAAGUGAUGCUAUAGAAGGUGUUUUAAACAUCUGACAUCGUACAAAAAAAAAUCCAUCAGUAUUCUGGGCACGGAAGUCCAUCCUAUUGUUUUAAAAUAAACUAUUUUCAAACACCUUAAUUUUGGCUUAUAGGCAACAAGUAAUGAGAAGAAUUCAAAAAAAAAAAAAAAAAAAAA